AGAUAAUAUGUGACAUGUUUGCAGGUAUUGGUCCUUUCGCUAUUCCAGCUACCCGAAAAGGAUGUUUAAUUUAUGCUAAUGAUCUCAAUCCAGAUGUUCCUUAUCUGAAUCGGUCAACCACUUCACUACUUCCAUGACUUAAAAGUCUAAUGAUAGAAGAAUCGACUGCAACAAAACUUUCUAAACUAGACUAGAAUAUAAUAAUCUUUCGUAGCAAUCAAGGUUGAGUUGGAUCCAUUAGGUUCUUUGAUUUUUUCAGAGGAGUAUAGCAUGAUGAGCCCAAGUUACGUCAGCUCCAGAUGAUUAUUAUAUUUCUAAAAGUGGAAACAUAACACCAGCUCUUCUUAAAGGAUUGGGGAGUUCUGAUUGGAAGUGGAAUUGUAUGGGGUUCUUAGAGCUCGGGGUUAUGACAUCAACAAAAACUCAAUUAUGGCUACUCUGACAUCUAUAAGUGGUCUUGCAUCUACUAUGGGACCUGCAAUAAAGAAGUUUAGCAAGGUCAACAAAUACGCCCAAUCUCCAUCUAUAUAUAAAUAGAUUCGGUCUUUAUAACCAAUGGAUUUAACAAUUGUAAUAUAUGCUUUUCUUGCAAGGAAUUUGGUUAGAUGUUGUCAAAUGCCUCAGUGACAAUAAAAAGAACAAGAGAGAAUGUACUUUGAAAACUUUGGAUGCUUGGGUGGUUGUUACCCAUCUUGAUAAAAUGUACCGAGUAUUACUAUUUCUUUGAUGCAAAACUUGGCGCAGUUUGCGUGUCUUAGGUCAAUGCACCGUCAUUCGUGCAAGCAACAAAUUUGUUUUCUCAGUUUCAUGUUGUCUCACAGAUGCACACACCUGUUGCCUCAAGUGGAGGACAACCUUUGAUGUUUUCUGCAAAGCAAGGUCGACCGACUGUUUGAUUAGUUGUUUUCCUUAUGAAACA